GACGUAGGGGACGAGCGUUGUCCGGAUUCAUUGGGCGUAAAGCGCGCGUAGGCGGCCACGCAAGUCGGGUGUGAAAUCCCGGAGCUCAACUCCGGAACUGCACUCGAAACUGCGCGGCUUGAGGUAGGUAGGGGAGAUCGAAUUCCUGGUGUAGCGGUGGAAUGCGCAGAUAUCAGGAGGAACACCGGUGGCGAAGGCGGUUCUCUGGGCAUGUCCUGACGCUGAGGAGCGAAAGUGUGGGGAGCGAACAGG
rnacentral:rRNA from 1 species